AGGAUGAACGCUGGCGGCGUGCCUAAUACAUGCAAGUCGAGCGGUAAGGCCACUUCGGUGGUACACGAGCGGCGGACGGCUGAGUAACACGUAGGAACGUACCCCAAAGUGAGGCAUAAGCACCAGAAAUGGUGUCUAAUACCGCAUGUGGCCUAACAGGCUAAAGCUCCGGCGCUUUGGGAACGGCCUGCGCAUGAUUAGCUUGUUGGUGAGGUAAAAGCUCACCAAGGCAGUGAUCAUUAGCUGGUCUGAGAGGAUGACCAGCCAGACUGGGACUGAGAACGGCCAGACUCCUACGGGAGGCAGCAGUAGGGAAUUUUCCACAAUGGGCGAAAGCCUGAUGGAGCAACGCCGCGUGCAGGAUGAAAGGCUCUAGGGUCGUAAACUGACUUCUAUCUGUGACGAAUAUGACGGUAGCAGAUGAAUAAGGAUCGGCUAACUCCGUGCCAGCAGCCGAC
rnacentral:rRNA from 1 species